rnacentral:lncRNA from 1 species
UUUUACAGUGAAUCACUUUAAGGGGACACGAACAUAAUCGUAAAAUGCACAGCAAAAGCAUCAGAAACAAAUAACCAUUGUGUAGCUUUUAAAAGAUCCGGAUUAGGAAUUCCAGUUUAAACCAUGGAUGCUUGAAAGAAUAGAUGAAUGAUAAAGUCUUUGUAAUCCUCCGCAACUUUCAUGAUAGAAUAUAGAGGAGGGAGAUGGGGGUGGGUGAGAGAGAGAGAG